UACAGGGGGGGCAAGCGUUGUUCGGAAUUACUGGGCGUAAAGGGCUCGUAGGUGGCCAACUAAGUCAGACGUGAAAUCCCUCAGCUUAACUGGGGAACUGCGUCUGAUACUGGAUGGCUUGAGUUUGGGAGAGGGAUGCGGAAUUCCAGGUGUAGCGGUGAAAUGCGUAGAUAUCUGGAGGAACACCGGUGGCGAAGGCGGCUAUCUGGACAGAGUCUGACGCUGAUGCGCGAAAGCUAGGGGAGCAAACAGG
rnacentral:rRNA from 1 species